rnacentral:rRNA from 1 species
GCAUUAGCAUCCGCAACCGAACUUCGGAUUUGACUUGGCGUAAUAGACUAUUCGCUGAGGAUUCUAGUUUACUAGAGCCGAGUUGGGUUAAAGGAAGCUCCUAAUCCUAAAGUCUAUUUUUUGAUUAGAUCUCAAAUCAGGUAGGACUACCCGCUGAACUUAAGCAUAUCAAUAAGCGGAGGAAAAGAAACUAACAAGGAUUCCCCUAGUAGCGGCGAGCGAAGCGGGAAGAGCUCAAAUUUAUAAUCUGGCACCUUCGGUGUCCGAGUUGUAAUCUCUAGAAGUGUUUUCCGUGUUGGACCGCACACAAGUCUGUUGGAAUACAGCGGCAUAGUGGUGAAACCCCCGUAUAUGGUGCGGACGCCCAGCGCUUUGUGAUACACUUUCAAUGAGUCGAGUUGUUUGGGAAUGCAGCUCAAAUUGGGUGGUAAAUUCCAUCUAAAGCUAAAUAUUGGCGAGAGACCGAUAGCGAACAAGUACCGUGAGGGAAAGAUGAAAAGCACUUUGGAAAGAGAGUUAACAGUACGUGAAAUUGUUGGAAGGGAAACGCUUGAAGUCAGACUUGCUUGCCGGAGCUUGCUUCGGUUUGCAGGCCAGCAUCAGUUUUCCGGGGUGGAUAAUGACGGUUUGAAGGUAGCAGUCUCGGCUGUGUUAUAGCUUUCCGUUGGAUACAUCCUGGGGGACUGAGGAACGCAGCGUGCUUUUUGCGAAAGACUCGUCUUUCA